UCGAGCUCUGGCAGCAGAACGUAUGUUUGCUCCCACGCUAUACGGAGGUGUAGUAAGGUUGCUCCUGGAUUUAGUCUUUCAAGUGAUCACUCGCUGGACAUCGAUUUGAUGAAAUGAUGCAUGAUUGUUUGUUGUUCAGCAAUGUGCGCGGUCGUCCAAGUUAUUGUUCGUGGACAUGUGCAGGAUGUCGACAGGGAUUUCGGACAAAAUACUUGUUUGUGAGGAUACUUAAGAAGUCUUCAAAAUCGUGCGUGAUGACGAUAUACGACGUCGACAAAUGAACGAAAGAAGAAAAGCUGCAAUAUUUUCGCCAUUUGGAUUGCAUGAAAUUUCGGAAUAAUCUGUGACUGUGGAUUAUUUGAAACGAAAGCCUCAAGGAGCAACAAUGGAAGACUGGUCACUGUAAUCCCACGAAAAAGAUCAGGAAAAUCCAGACUCCAUUCAUGACACAUGGCAGAAGCGCACAACCGUGCUACAGGAAGCCUGGCGAAGAUGGCAAAAGGUUUGCCUCAUGCAGCUCCCUUCGGCCCCUCAGUCUAACUAAGGUUCAACACGUGGCUAUUCUGUCUUCCCUACGCACAGCCCUGACCGGUUCCAUCACGCGGUACAUCCCUAUUGAAUCCUCACAUAUGCGGCACCCGCCUUCCUCGUAGGAAUCCCCCCGUUGCCGUCUGCUCCAGCUUGGCUGUAACGACUUUUCUUUGGCCGCUCUCCUUGGCCCCGUCCAGCACCCCAACCUGUGGGCUGGCACAGCCGCCCUCCUCAGUUUCCUCAGAGCCUCAGGACCAGAGUAGGGCAUCCUCGCGAGAGCAGAAGAGGGUGAGGGAGCCCUCACCCUCACAUCUCCCUUACCUCACGCACAUUGAGGUGAGGUGAGGAACAAUUUCCAAAAAGAGAGAGUGAGGUGAGGUGAGGAAAAUGUUUGGAGAGGGAGGUUCAGGUGAGAAAAGUUUUUGAGAAGGAGGUUGAGGUGAAGUGAGGAAAAUUUUUCGACAAGGACGUUCAGGUGAGGUGAGGUGAGGGAAUUUUUUUUACAAGAACAUUGAGGUGAGAUGAGUCGAGGAAAAAUUUUUGAGAGGGAGGUUGGGGAGAUGUGGAGAGGCUAUUUUGACUUACCCGAUCGCUGAAAAGGGCAUGUAGAGCCAGCUUUUUCUAAUACCAAGGUAGCAGAAAUGCUCUUGUACUGUGAGCACAGGCUGUCUACACUAAAAUGUGUCCGCUGUAAGCCCGUUAGUUUCAGACUUUCAGUUGAGUCAGAUACAUGAUAGACGUGUCACAUCAGAUCCACGAACAAGUGAAUAUAGCUUAUGAAUUUAGUUUAGAUUUGAAUACAGUCACAUGCAUGAUGUGUCAGAUACAUGAACGAGCCAAUUUAGUUCGUGCGCUUUGUGUGUUUGGAUUUCAACAAAGCCACUAGUCAGUCUGUAAGCAUAUGUGUUUCACGUAUUACUUGGAAUGAUAGUAAAUGACAGCCAAUGACCUCACCGGAGACUGAUGUAAGAAAUGGCGGCAACAACAUGCGCUUUUAGUGCAAUAAGCGCAAAUACUGGCAUAUAUCCUGUAUUCCCACAAGUUUAACCAUUGAGCUGUUAGUGCAGCAAUAAAUUCGGCAAAAACACACAAGAGGUUUGUGUCUUCAUAAAAUAAUUUAAUUAAUAAAACAGCACAAAAGUCACCAGUAAUCUGUACAGCUCACCUACCUGAUGGCUUCAAAACAAGGCUCUUGAAGAAAAUGUCCCCGAAUUCCGGCUAUAAAUGAAUACGUCUGCUAUUUAAAUAAUACUGAUCGAUAAUGUAAAGUCAUAACAGACAAAAAUGCAAAAUGUACAAGUAAAUUUGAUGUAUAGCUGCACAUCAUCCCGAAAACGACCUCCGCUGCUCCAUUAUCAUUCUCGUUUGAGAGAUACUCGAUGAAAGCCAUUCCUGUUUUGCCAGUGCGAAAAACAGAAACAGCUCACAAUUGCUCGCUUUGUGCAACUUCUCUGCCCAAGUACCAUACGUCCAACUUUUACUGAUUGUACUGUAGGGGACACGGUUGUCUAAAAUAAGCACUCCGUGAUUUAUCUCAUCUCAAAUCUCCAGGUGUUGCAAGUCUAUUUCUUUCGAGUAAUGAACACGUGUAGCACAUGGUCCACUUUCAAAUACAAUAUUGACACAUCACAUUCAACAAAUUGCCCACCUGCCCAUUUGCUCACCUCUGCUCAGGAAUCAUGAACUGCAUGUGACGCUGUUAUAGUGUCUCGUUUCUUCUUUCUUUCUUCCAUUUUCCUGUCUUGCCUUCGCUUUCUUUUUCUUCUUUUCCGUUUUUUUCUUCUUUUUCCGUUUUUUCUUUUUUUGUGGAAUAGCAAGUCGGCUCUUUGCCUGGUUAAUAAAUAUAUAUUCCCCACCCCACAUACAGGGUGGGGGUCUACAGGGUGUAAGGGUCUAAAAAAUAAAAAUAAAACAAAGCUAUCUUGGUCGAUGAAACCAAGUA